UGAUAGCUGUGAAGCGUGAGGUUGCUGCCGGGUGCGAAAGCAUGAUGGCAGGUUUUCCGUGGAGCGAAUGUCAAGUUAGGAAACUGGCGACAA
rnacentral:ncRNA from 1 species